AACGAACGCUGGCGGCGUGCCUAACACAUGCAAGUCGUGCGAGAAAGUUCCUUUGGGAGCGAGUAAAGCGGCGCACGGGUGAGUAACACGUAGGUAACCUGCCCCCCAGUCUGGAACAACUAGAGGAAACUACUAGCUAAUAGCCGGAUGAGACCACGAUCCCUUCGGGGUUGGCGGCCAAAGAAUGGCCUCUACUUGUAAGCUAUCGCUGAGGGAUGGGCCGUGCGGGCCGAUUAGCUUGUUGGUGAGGUAACGGCUCACCAAGGCUGUGAUGGCUAGCUGGUCUGAGAGGAUGACCAGCCACACUGGGACUGAGACACGGCCCAGACUCCUACGGGAGGGCAGCAGUGGGGAAUAUUGCGCAAUGGGUGAAAGCCUGACGCAGCGACGCCGCGUGGGU
rnacentral:rRNA from 1 species